rnacentral:rRNA from 1 species
UACGGAGGGCGCAAGCGUUUUUCGGAAUCAUUGGGCGUAAAGCGCGUGCAGGCGGCUUGGUAAGUCGAGUGUGAAAUCCCGGGGCUCAACCCCGGAACUGCACCCGAUACUGCCUCGCUAGAGUCCCGGAGAGGAUGGCGGAAUUUCCGGUGUAGAGGUGAAAUUCGUAGAUAUCGGAAGGAACACCAGCGGCGAAGGCGGCCAUCUGGACGGUGACUGACGCUCAGACGCGAAAGCGUGGGGAGCAAACAGG